AGAGUUUGAUCAUGGCUCAGAUUGAACGCUGGCGGUAGGCUUAACACAUGCAAGUCGUGCGAGAAAGUAUCUUCGGAUAUGAGUAGAGCGGCGGACGGGUGAGUAACGCGUAGGAAUCUACCUAGUAGAAGGGGAUAGCCCGGGGAAACCCGGAUUAAUACCGUAUACCUCCUUCGGGAGAAAGAAGGCCUCUCUUUAGAAGCUUUCGCUACUAGAUGAGCCUGCGUAAGAUUAGCUUGUUGGUGAGGUAAAGGCUCACCAAGGCGACGAUCUUUAGCUGGUCUGAGAGGACGAUCAGCCACAUUGGGACUGAGACACGGCCCAGACUCCUACGGGAGGCAGCAGUGGGGAAUAUUGGACAAUGGGCGCAAGCCUGAUCCAGCCAUACCGCGUGUGUGAAGAAGGCCUUCGGGUUGUAAAGCACUUUAAGCAGGGAGAAAAAGUUAUAAGUUAAUACCUUAUAACCCUGAUGUUACCUGCAGAAUAAGCACCGGCUAAUUCCGUGCCAGCAGCCGCGGUAAUACGGAAGGUGCAAGCGUUAAUCGGAAUUACUGGGCGUAAAGCGCGCGUAGGUGGUUUGUUAAGUUGGAUGUGAAAGCCCUGGGCUCAACCUAGGAACUGCAUCCAAAACUAACUCACUAGAGUACGAUAGAGGGAGGUAGAAUUCAUAGUGUAGCGGUGGAAUGCGUAGAUAUUAUGAAGAAUACCAGUGGCGAAGGCGGCCUCCUGGAUCUGUACUGACACUGAGGUGCGAAAGCGUGGGUAGCGAACAGGAUUAGAUACCCUGGUAGUCCACGCCGUAAACGAUGACAACUAGCUGUUGGGAGACAAUGUCUUUCAGUGGCGCAGCUAACGUUUUAAGUUGUCCGCCUGGGGAGUACGGCCGCAAGGCUAAAACUCAAAUGAAUUGACGGGGACCCGCACAAGCGGUGGAGCAUGUGGUUUAAUUCGAUGCAACGCGAAAAACCUUACCUACUCUUGACAUACUUGGGAGCUCUUGUAAUGAGAGUGUGCCUUAUGGAACCAAGAUACAGGUGCUGCAUGGCUGUCGUCAGCUCGUGUCGUGAGAUGUUCCGUUAAGUCGGAUAACGAGCGCAACCCUUACCCUUAUUGCCA
rnacentral:rRNA from 1 species